UACGUAGGGGGCAAGCGUUGUCCGGAUUUACUGGGCGUAAAGAGCGUGUAGGCGGCCAAGCAGGUCCGUUGUGAAAACUGGAGGCUUAACCUCCAGACGUCGACGGAAACCGCGUGGCUAGAGUCCGGAAGAGGAGAGUGGAAUUCCUGGUGUAGCGGUGAAAUGCGCAGAUAUCAGGAAGAACACCAAUGGCGAAGGCAGCUCUCUGGGACGGUACUGACGCUGAGACGCGAAGGCGUGGGGAGCGAACAGG
rnacentral:rRNA from 1 species